UACGUAGGGUGCGAGCGUUAAUCGGAAUUACUGGGCGUAAAGCGUGCGCAGGCGGUGAUGUAAGACAGAUGUGAAAUCCCCGGGCUUAACCUGGGAACUGCGUUUGAAACUACAAGGCUAGAGUGUGACAGAGGGGGGUGGAAUUCCACGUGUAGCAGUGAAAUGCGUAGAGAUGUGGAGGAACACCGAUGGCGAAGGCAGCCCCUGGGUUAACACUGACGCUCAGGCACGAAAGCGUGGGGAGCAAACAGG
rnacentral:rRNA from 1 species